GACCGAAGAAAAGAAGUAACAUGUGAGUUCACCUUAAAGAAAGGCGGCCCGGGGAAGAUGAUGAUAACACGGGAUCGAAAUAGGAGAGAAUAAGGGUAAAAGACUGGCAGAGGUUGAAGGUGAGGCGCUUGGGUUCGGGUUUUGUACUGAUAGGAGAGAGGAGAUAGACCGGAGGAAGAAAGCCAAUGACAAUCAUUAAUGGCUACUCUUUUGUAGUGGUGGAUCUAGUUAUGUGUUUGUGCUUUGC
rnacentral:lncRNA from 1 species